rnacentral:rRNA from 1 species
UACGUAGGCAGCGAGCGUUGUUCGGAAUUACUGGGCGUAAAGAGUGUGUAGGCGGUGCUCCCAGUCUGUUGUGAAAUCUCCCGGCUUAACUGGGAGGGUGCAGCGGAAACUAGAGUGCUAGAGGGUGGGAGAGGUAAGCGGAAUUCCUGGUGUGGCGGUGAAAUGCGUAGAUAUCAGGAGGAACACCUGAGGUGUAGACAGCUUACUGGACCACUUCUGACGCUGAGACACGAAAGCGUGGGUAGCAAACAGG